UACGGAGGUUGCAAGCGUUGUUCGGAAUUACUGGGCGUAAAGGGAGCGCAGGCGGCCAGAUUAGUCUAAAGUGAAAGCCCGGGGCUUAACUCCGGAAGUGCUUUGGAUACUGUCUGGCUCGAGUUCGUGAGAGGAAAGCGGAAUUCCAGGUGUAGCGGUGAAAUGCGUAGAUAUCUGGAGGAACACCGGUGGCGAAAGCGGCUUUCUGGCACGAUACUGACGCUGAGGCUCGAAAGCAUGGGGAGCGAACGGG
rnacentral:rRNA from 1 species